UUUCUCUCUCAAGUUCAAAUGUCAAAUUGGUGUGCAAAGACAUGAUGCAGUCAAACAUUCUACUUGUCGCGUUCGCCUUUGACCAGCAAUGACGACGCAACACCAACGCUCUUCUUCUAGCAGUUUAUUCAGGAAAACUUAACAUUCUUUUUCUUCUACCCCUGGGGAGCACCCGUCCCUAGAAUAAGUACCCCUGAACCAACCAAUCACGGAUAGUCAUGUGGCGAAUGCGGAUAGGUACACGUAAGAGGGGGCAGAGCAUCAGACACAUCACAGCCAAAUAAGGAGUUGUUUAUCAUAAAGAGCUCUCACCGUCGGGAUGGCGGAAGGCGGAAACCAGCGCCAUCUUUAAGGCGUGGCACACGCAGCUCUCCACACACGAAUAGAAAUAAGAUGUCCAAAUCCACUAGAAAAUACAAGUUUCCACUUGUUCUGUGACCACUUACCCACCAAGACAAUGACUGUUCCAAAUGACUCAUUCGUGCCUGAGCAUUAGCGAGUGGCAACCUACAAACUGUUCUCCUGAUGCUGCAACUUUUCGAGUUUCCUCAGCAAAGAAAGAAAGAACCUUUUGAUAAUCUUGAAGAUAUACAAGAAAGCAUCAGUGAAGAUCUGGAUUCACUCCUAACAGCCGUACUCCUGUCUGGGUAAUUGUGACUGCCAUGCUGAGUCCAAUGCCCUUGUCUGAUUAAAAACUGCAAAGGCUACUGAACUAAAU
rnacentral:lncRNA from 1 species